UUUGAUUGUAGAGGAGCGGAAUCUAUCUCUAUAUAAAAGGAUAGUGGGCAGGGGUCUGCGAAGAGAGGGUCGUGAGGGAGGAAAGAGCCUCUUCAGGAGAAGGAGGCUGCCACUGUACGAAUUAGAUGUGGAAACAAGAUGAGCAAGAUCUGUUAACGCAGGAAGUGGGGGGGGGGAGAGAGAGAGAGAAAAGAAGGGGGGAGAAAGACAAAAGGGAAGAGCGAGCAGAGGAGAGAACGAAGGGAGGAGAAGAGAUAAAUAAGGGUGAGGAAUGGGACUGGGUCUGUCAGCAGCCUGAAGGGAACUAGUGACCACAGCAAGGAAGGUUCCGGUCAACUGCCACCACUGUUGCUUUUUGAGGCUGCCGAGGCCACUGGGGGAGGGAGGCAGGCAGGUGAGCCUGUCAGCGGCCUGAGGGGAAUAAGCUGCCAUGGUGGCAGCAGUAGCAGUGAGGAAGGGCCUGGUCAACCACUGCUGCUGCUGCUGCUCCUCCUCCUCCUCCUGCGGGGAGGAGCAGGGCUUGGGUGAGGAGAUCUCUGGCGUUAGGGGGCUGCGACUUGGCCAACUGGAGUUAGCAAUGCCACAGCCAAGACCAAGAGAGGUGAGGGAGAUGGAGUAACAGGAUGGAAAAGCGACUAAGAGAGGUGAGCGGGUGAGGAAGCAAUGGAAUGGAGGAGGAGGAGCAGGAGUGUGGCUCAGGUGAGGGUGGAGAGAUCUCGAGGGGGCUGUGUCGAGGGGUGAAGGGAGCAAUCAAGUACUAGCGCACAGAUGCUCUGCACAGGUAAAGCUAGUACACAUUUAAAGGUUCUAGAGAUUGUUGUUGAUCUUGCAACAGUAGAUAGCAUAGUGAAGCCUCUGGAAUUCUUGCUUUAACUGUCCUUAUGGAUUAAGAACUGAUGGCACAGGAUUACAUACUAAAUGUUGGCAGUAGAUACCACUUGGAAUGAAAGAAUAAGUCUGUUACCUCAGCUGCUAAGUUGGAGCCCAAUAGAUCACAGUGCUGUUUGACAUAAAUCACUAGAGACUGCAUAAGGAUGGGGCUGCGCUUCACGGCUUCCUGCAUUUCAACAACUAGUGCCGCACAGUCUCCACAGGGGUUUUCUGCCUCCUGACAGAACAGAGCUGUUUCAAGGGAGUAGUCAAAUCCACCCACAGUGUAUCCUCACCCGAAGCUCAAGAUAGGGAUCUUCUUGAGGGUACAGGAGGAAAGGCACAUUAGCUAUGAAAGGAGACAUCAUUUCAGGGAAGUCCAGUUCAGGCACUCCAUCAGACUUCUGGAACUUCAGAGCUCCUUCGGAGGCUCUUCGAGAGCUGCACAACCUAAAGGCACCACAUACUAUUUCAGGCCUAUCCUGGGAAGAGAAAGAGAGACACAAAUCAUUCCUUAAGGCAACACUGCUAGUCUCUAAAGCUGAGAAGAAAACAAACACGUUGGAAGAGAAUACUUCUUAGGAGAUUGCACGCUUGCUCAAGAAUGGUUUCCACAUUAGAAAUAUAUAGAAUCACAGGAAGGCUUCACACAAUGUGCAGAAGACAUGCCUAACCCUCCAAAAAAUGGAUGGGGAAACUUUCAAAGAAAAGUCUUUUCCACAUGUCAAAUCAGGACUUUGAAAUGAACAUAACAAGCACAUGAGGUCUUCACGAAGGAGCAUAACACUAUCCAUGGGAGAUGUAUGUGAGAAGUCUUAAGACUGGAGACAGACACUUUUUUUGCAGAAAGCUGAAGUUGCAACUACAAAGGCCUUAUUACCAAACACAUCCAUCCCAUUGCCACCUUUGGCAAAGAGAUUUUGCAGGAAUGUGUAGUCCUUCAAAAAUGUGGAAAGCCUAUGUGACCAAAGAUGGCAGUGGGAGAAAAAUGUGGCUCUUGCGACUUUCAACAUGGUUACAAGUGAUCUGUCUACAACUACACCUAGGGAGCUUGGCAGCAUUUCAUUAUAAGCACCAGGCAGAUUCUCAUCGAACUGCUUCAAAAUUAAAUGACUGGAAAACAUUUAGUGGAAAGAAACUCUGUGUCAUCCAAAAUCAUGGGAUCUUGUUGGAAAAACUAGUCAGUAUUUUAAAUAUUAAAGUUUGGGGAGUUUUUUUAAAAAUAUCUAUUUUAUUUAUUAUUAAAUUUGUAUACCGCCUUUCAUUAAAACAAUCCCAAGGCAGUUUACAAAACAUUUAACAUUAUAAAACCAUACAAACUAAACAAUAAGAAUUAAGAUGGAAUAUAAAAAUACAUAGCGAAAAGUUUUUUAAAAACAUAUCCUCAGAUCAACAGGAAUGAAACUAAACACUAAAAGUUGUUCAAUUUGAGGGACAUCUAAAUAUAUGCACCACAGCUCGCUUCAAAGACAUAUGCUACAAUCCAACACAGAGAGGGCUGUACAACUGUUAACUCAUAGGUGUAUCUACACUACAUCCUUAAUUAUCAUUCCCUCUCACUACGGAACCCUGGAGGUUGUAGUGCUAGGAUGAGAGAAGAGUAAAGAAUGAACAGCGAGCUCUCAGCACUAUCCCAA